GCCUAGAUAGUUCAGCUGGUUAGACGUUGAUACUGGCAACGUCAAAGUUGCAGGUUCAAUCCCUGUAUGGGACC